AAAUAUUUUCUUCUUUCUAACCUCACAUAUAUAUUAUUUUUCCCUUAUUCACUGUAUUUGUAUUAUUGGAUUGUUCUCCUUUAAAAUUUUACGUCUUACCGGAUUUUUUCUCUGAACGGAGGGUUUUCAAACCCUGCCGCUUUCAAUCAGCUGGCCGCGGCUUUUUUUCUCUCAGGGAGAGCCGCGGCCCAUUCUCUCUUUCUCCUCAGCCGCGGACUCCAUUUCCCAGAGUCCGCGGCUGCUAUUUCCCGCCCUUAUCCUUCCUCCCGCCUACUAGCGUCUGUCUCUUGGACGCAGGCUUUUUCCCGCCCUUUUCAACGGCGGCAAGCUCGCGGCGGCCAUUUUCAGCCCCAGAGUAACUGCCAACGGCUCCUCCACUGCGGCGCACAAGUUCUUUUUCAAAUCCUGUGGGUACAGAAAAUCAUAUUACUGACUAGCUUGUGGAAGGUAGGUUGCUGCCAUCUUAUCUCCACCUCAUUUCAUAUACUC